rnacentral:rRNA from 2 species
AGGUAAGAUCAUACCAGCACUAAUGCACCGGAUGCCUUGAGAACUCCGCCGUUAUUUGUGCCCAGGCGAGAGUAGUACUAGGAUGGGUGACCUCCUGGGAAAUCCUUAUGUUGCACCUC